UACGUAGGGUGCAAGCGUUAAUCGGAAUUACUGGGCGUAAAGCGUGCGCAGGCGGCUUUGCAAGACAGAUGUGAAAUCCCCGGGCUUAACCUGGGAACUGCAUUUGUGACUGCAUGGCUAGAGUGCGGCAGAGGGGGAUGGAAUUCCGCGUGUAGCAGUGAAAUGCGUAGGUAUGCGGAGGAACACCGAUGGCGAAGGCAAUCCCCUGGGCCUGCACUGACGCUCAUGCACGAAAGCGUGGGGAGCAAACAGG
rnacentral:rRNA from 1 species